rnacentral:rRNA from 1 species
CGGAGCUUGCUCCACCGGAAAAAGAAGAGUGGCGAACGGGUGAGUAACACGUGGGUAACCUGCCCAUCAGAAGGGGAUAACACUUGGAAACAGGUGCUAAUACCGUAUAACAAUCGAAACCGCAUGGUUUUGAUUUGAAAGGCGCUUUCGGGUGUCGCUGAUGGAUGGACCCGCGGUGCAUUAGCUAGUUGGUGAGGUAACGGCUCACCAAGGCCACGAUGCAUAGCCGACCUGAGAGGGUGAUCGGCCACAUUGGGACUGAGACACGGCCCAAACUCCUACGGGAGGCAGCAGUAGGGAAUCUUCGGCAAUGGACGAAAGUCUGACCGAGCAACGCCGCGUGAGUGAAGAAGGUUUUCGGAUCGUAAAACUCUGUUGUUAGAGAAGAACAAGGAUGAGAGUAACUGUUCAUCCCUUGACGGUAUCUAACCAGAAAGCCACGGCUAACUACGUGCCAGCAGCCGCGGUAAUACGUAGGUGGCAAGCGUUGUCCGGAUUUAUUGGGCGUAAAGCGAGCGCAGGCGGUUUCUUAAGUCUGAUGUGAAAGCCCCCGGCUCAACCGGGGAGGGUCAUUGGAAACUGGGAGACUUGAGUGCAGAAGAGGAGAGUGGAAUUCCAUGUGUAGCGGUGAAAUGCGUAGAUAUAUGGAGGAACACCAGUGGCGAAGGCGGCUCUCUGGUCUGUAACUGACGCUGAGGCUCGAAAGCGUGGGGAGCAAACAGGAUUAGAUACCCUGGUAGUCCACGCCGUAAACGAUGAGUGCUAAGUGUUGGAGGGUUUCCGCCCUUCAGUGCUGCAGCUAACGCAUUAAGCACUCCGCCUGGGGAGUACGACCGCAAGGUUGAAACUCAAAGGAAUUGACGGGGGCCCGCACAAGCGGUGGAGCAUGUGGUUUAAUUCGAAGCAACGCGAAGAACCUUACCAGGUCUUGACAUCCUUUGACCACUCUAGAGAUAGAGCUUCCCCUUCGGGGGCAAAGUGACAGGUGGUGCAUGGUUGUCGUCAGCUCGUGUCGUGAGAUGUUGGGUUAAGUCCCGCAACGAGCGCAACCCUUAUUGUUAGUUGCCAUCAUUUAGUUGGGCACUCUAGCAAGACUGCCGGUGACAAACCGGAGGAAGGUGGGGAUGACGUCAAAUCAUCAUGCCCCUUAUGACCUGGGCUACACACGUGCUACAAUGGGAAGUACAACGAGUCGCGAAGUCGCGAGGCUAAGCUAAUCUCUUAAAGCUUCUCUCAGUUCGGAUUGUAGGCUGCAACUCGCCUACAUGAAGCCGGAAUCGCUAGUAAUCGCGGAUCAGCACGCCGCGGUGAAUACGUUCCCGGGCCUUGUACACACCGCCCGUCACACCACGAGAGUUUUAACACCCGAAGUCGGUGA